AAUGGGUGUGUAUGGGACGGAAUGUUGGGGCUAGAGUGAGACAGCUCAACUGCUCGAGUGAGAGGAGCGAAAAAAAUUAAUCUUAAAAUAUUUUUUAAAACUGCUGCUGUGUCCGCAGCGUUUGCUCUACAGGUAUGAUUUUACCCUCAAAACGUAGCCAUCGCUGUCCUCUUUCAUCCAAUGUGUUUACUAUUGUCCUAGGUGUUAUGGUUCUUUCAUAAAUGUCACCAAAGCACAGCCUCCUCCCUCCAACUCCUCCAUAGACUCUAAUGUUAAAAUGGCUCAGAAGUUUCGUUUGAAAAUCAG
ensembl:lncRNA